rnacentral:misc_RNA from 1 species
UGGAGACAUGACUACAGGA